AGUUUAGUUGGAAAAGCACUUGUCUAGCGAAUAAGGGUCGUGAGUUCAAAUCUCAC
rnacentral:tRNA from 1 species